GAUGAACGCUGGCGGCGUGCCUAAUACAUGCCAGUCGAGCGAACGGACGAGGAGCUUGCUCCUCUGACGUUAGCGGCGGACGGGUGAGUAACACGUGGAUAACCUACCUAUAAGACUGGGAUAACUUCGGGAAACCGGAGCUAAUACCGGAUAAUAUAUUGAACCGCAUGGUUCAAUAGUGAAAGACGGUCUUGCUGUCACUUAUAGAUGGAUCCGCGCUGCAUUAGCUAGUUGGUAAGGUAACGGCUUACCAAGGCAACGAUGCGUAGCCGACCUGAGAGGGUGAUCGGCCACACUGGAACUGAGACACGGUCCAGACUCCUACGGGAGGCAGCAGUAGGGAAUCUUCCGCAAUGGGCGAAAGCCUGACGGAGCAACGCCGCGUGAGUGAUGAAGGUCUUCGGAUCGUAAAACUCUGUUAUUAGGGAAGAACAAAUGUGUAAGUAACUAUGCACAUCUUGACGGUACCUAAUCAGAAAGCCACGGCUAACUACGUG
rnacentral:rRNA from 1 species